CACUGAGAAGCGUGGCUGGAGGUGAGAAGCAGCAGGUGUGCUGUGUAAACAGCAUUUUUGGUAUUUUGUGGUGGGAAGAUUUUAAACUCUGGUUCACAGCAGCACCAGUGAGGAAGUCCUUUGUCCUUGUCACCACAAUGAGACACAAGUUUCAGGUAGAGUAAUUGCAAACCAAGCAUUCAGGGGCAGAAUUUUGGAGAGCCACCGUUCCAGAAGGAGCCACUGAGAGAGAAGUUGGAGAGCCCUCAGGACCCCAAAAUGAGCACCACUGCUAGGCUGGGUGGGAACGGAUUUGCUCACACUUUGGGUUCUGUUCCACACAUUGCACUUUGAUGCAUAGAUCAGUCACACUUCUUUGGGAGUACAAGAUAUUAAAACUCCAACUUUCCAAUUACCAAAUGUGGUAGAGGUAUUACCUACUCCAUAUCCAUCCUCUCCUUCUUCCUGACAAAUAGAAUCUCAAUUUGGUUUGGGCAACAUUGGAUUCAGUUAAACAAAACAAAGCAAGCUUCCAUUUCCCAGCCUCCCUUGCAUACAAGGAUGCCCAUGUGACUAAAUUCCACAAUUGAGAAAAAAGCAGAAGUUCCUGGGUGAGGCUUCUGGGGAAACUGCUCAAAGGCAAUGAUUCAGGUGAUAGGUUCCUUCUCUCCUUCACUUUAUUUAACUUCUUGCCUGAACACAGAUGUGAUGGUUUCUACUCCUGCAGCCAUUCUGAGAGCUUGAGGAUGAGGCUUACACCCUAAAAGCAGCAGAGAAAAAAAACUAGAAGGGACCUUGAAUACCUGACAACCUUGGAAGUUGCCAUAGCAGCCCAGAACUGCCUAGUUGUACUGUCUUUUUCUGUGAGAGAAAAAUAGACCUCUGCCUUGUUGAAACUCUGGUGUUUCAUUUCUCUGUGACUAAUGCCAAACCCAAUUCCUUACUUAUACCAUUAAGUGUAUGCUAAGUAUAUGAUUAAGUAUAUGAUGUCAUAUCUAAGAAACCAUUGUCUAAUUCAACAUCAUGAAGAUUUACACCUAU